rnacentral:rRNA from 1 species
UACGUAGGGGGCUAGCGUUGUCCGGAAUCAUUGGGCGUAAAGCGCGCGUAGGCGGCCAGAUAAGUCCGGUGUGAAAGUCACAGGCUCAACCUGUGAAUGCCGCUGGAAACUGUCUGGCUAGAGUCCGGAAGGGGCGAGUGGAAUUCCUGGUGUAGCGGUGAAAUGCGCAGAUAUCAGGAGGAACACCAGUGGCGAAGGCGACUACCUGGCCUGUUCUUGACGCUGAGGCGCGAAAGCUAGGGGAGCAAACGGG